rnacentral:lncRNA from 1 species
ACUGGUUUAUCGACCUCCAUAAUAUACAAUGUCGCAUGCGAUUUGUAAGCAACAAUCAACGUAUACACAAUUUUCUUUUUCCUAUAAAAAAUAAGGGUUGAAAGGCACCAUAGGUUUUGUGGAGUCAAAACCAGGUGUCCGUUACAACCACCAUUGUUUCACUAGAUAAAUGGGACAGUCAGAUGCGAGGAGUUUCAGACAAGGAUAUAUCCCAGCAAUUUGUGGAAGAUGUACAUGAAAAAACAUAAUAUAGUCAGCACAAACAAAUGAGCUGGCGAUACAGAGAUAAGCUGGCAUCAUGAAGACCAACUGAAUACACGCCAUCUAUAUUUAUUGUCUUCAUCGCUUGUAUGAAUUGAAUGGUUCUUGCUCCCUCCAAUGCUGGGACAGCAGCGGAGCUCCUGAUCUCGUAUUAGAGCAUCAUCUCUGUACAUAGGAUUUAUGUACUUGGGAUGUUGCAAGAAAGGGACAUUUUUCCACCAAAGCUUGAGGGCCUAAAGAAAUGCACAAAAGAGAAAUGAGAACGCUUGAUCUAAGUAGAUAACCAUAAAACGGGUUUCAGUAAUGCCGAAGGAAUCAAAAGUUGCAGCCACCUUGCUUUCAUGAAAGAUUUGAUGCAUAAACUUCUAGGUGCAUGGUGUUCGAUCAAUGCCAGAAUGAUCUUCUAGAUCUUCUAAAGAAGCAUAAUGAACCAAGAUGCAUUCAUUUGUUUGGACAGGUCAAUAAUUAGAGCAAAAAACUUUGGAAAACAUGGAUUAACUUUGCAAAGAAAGAUUUACAAAACCCACAAGGACAGAUGUCCUUUUUUGUUGAAAAAUGAUAGACAUAUCCCUAAAAUGGACCCAAGGGCGUGGAGACAAAUAAGAUUCUCAUCUGCUUUAGUG